AUACGAAGGGGGCUAGCGUUGUUCGGAAUUACUGGGCGUAAAGCGCGCGUAGGCGGAUUGGUCAGUUAGGGGUGAAAUCCCAGGGCUUAACCCUGGAACUGCCUCUAAUACUGCCAGUCUUGAGUUCGGGAGAGGUGAGUGGAAUUCCUAGUGUAGAGGUGAAAUUCGUAGAUAUUAGGAAGAACACCAGUGGCGAAGGCGGCUCACUGGCCCGAUACUGACGCUGAGGCGCGAAAGCGUGGGGAGCAAACAGGAUUAGAUACCCCGGUAGUCC
rnacentral:rRNA from 1 species